GCCACAUUCCCAGGAUUCCCUGCAGAAUGUCCUGGUGUGUAUAAAGUGGUAUAGGGAGGGCCUCCCAUGAGUGGGGCUGGCACUAGAUAAACAACUGGCAGAGCCACAGGAACAAGGAUGCAGCAAAUAACUAACCGGCAGAAUCACUAUGAGGGUAACUGCUCCAGUGGACUGAUAAGGAGCAAGUCUGGACAUGCUGCCUCUUGGGCUGGGAGCCCUUUCACACCAGCCACUACUACUACUCUAAAGACACCAUGAAUUAGGGUGCCAGCAAGAGGAACUGCGCAGAGAUGGGUUCCCACCUGGUGGUGAUCAACAUGAGAGAUGAGCAGGUAAUUUGCCAGGGAUUGGUCUCCAGUGGGAAUUCAGUGCCCAGCUCUGGAGGAGACCUCCACACACUUAGACCUGCUCUUGAAUUUGAGCAGGAAAUUCAAUCUCCAUGUUCAUUCCAUCCUGAUCUUCCUCAGUCAUCACCACCAGCACCAGACUCACACCUUACAGGAACUCUGCCUUCCUAUUGUCUGCUCAGUGAUGGCAUCUGGCAAGAUUUACAUUUAUUUUUCAUCCAGGCUUUCCUUUCCAGUUGGAAAGUUCCAAAGGGAACUUAUACAGGCACCCAAGUAGAAAGUUACUAUAUUCGUCCGACUCAUCAGGAGGAGAAAGGUCAGUGGUGCUCAGUGGAUCAGACUCCAAUAACCAGACUGCAGUGUUCUGGAAAGACAGAGAACCCAGUAACCUUGACAAGGAGAAGUGUGUUGUCAUGGAUAUGAGGGGAAACACAUACUCAGAGGACUACGAAUUGGAAUAAUCUCCCAUUACACAGCAACUUAUCGACACUGAAAAACUGCAGCAACAAAUAUUUGAUUAAAAAAACAUCCUGGGUGUCAGAGUGGAGAGAGAACCCAUUCCUCACCAGAAGCAGCUCACAAAGAUUUGAUAGGAGGGGUCAGAUUAGUCCUGAUCUGCACUUAUGUGGGAGUGGUGGGGACUGUGGUGGAAGUUCCCGCACUCAGUGGCCUGAACCCAAAGUAAUUUAAAAAAAAUUAAAGCUGCUGAAAAU